rnacentral:rRNA from 1 species
UACGUAGGGCGCAAGCGUUGUCCGGAUUUAUUGGGCGUAAAGAGCUCGUAGGCGGUCUGUUGCGUCCGCUGUGAAAACUCGGGGCUUAACCCCGAGCCUGCAGUGGAUACGGGCAGACUAGAGGUAGGUAGGGGAGAAUGGAAUUCCCGGUGUAGUGGUGAAAUGCGUAGAUAUCGGGAGGAACACCAGUGGCGAAGGCGACUACCUGGCCUGUUCUUGACGCUGAGGCGCGAAAGCUAGGGGAGCAAACGGG